rnacentral:lncRNA from 10 species
GGCAUGGUGGCAUACACCUGUAAUCCCAGCUACUCGGGAGGCUGAGGCAGGAGGAUUAACUGAGCCCAGGAGUUUGAUGCUAUCCUGGACAACACAGCAAGACUCCAGCUCUAAAACAUAAUUAAAUAAAUACAUUUUCAAAAAACCUGGCCGGGCAUGGUGGCUGAUGCCUGUAAUCUCAGCACUACGGGAGGCCGAGGCAGGUGUAUCACCUCAUGUCAGGAGUUCGAGACCAGUCUGGCUAACAUGGUGAAAACCCU